AGCCUUUUGCUUGAAGGCACCAAUAAGAGUGAGAAAUAAGGAAAUUAGGAGAGUAAGAAACAGGAAUGGAGGGGCAGAUGGAUUUCUUCUAAACCCGGAUUGCUAAGAAGAAACUUUGUUUCCCUUCAAUACAACUUGCCUGAACUCAUUGUGAGACAACACUGCUCUGAGCACAGUGGCACUGAACACAGAAAGCCACAGAGUUCAGUGCUGUGAUGAGUUUCAGCAGUGACAGCUCUCUCCCUGAGAAAAGGCACAGCACAAACAGAGAGAGUCCACAGGUACUGAAAAACCCCCAGAGAAUAACAGUGAAAAUGAGAAGAGGAUGUGAAAACAACAUGUGAAGAAAAAGUGA